GAUGAACGCUGGCGGCGUGCCUAAUACAUGCAAGUCGAGCGAACGGACGAGAAGCUUGCUUCUCUGAUGUUAGCGGCGGACGGGUGAGUAACACGUGGAUAACCUACCUAUAAGACUGGGAUAACUUCGGGAAACCGUAGCUAAUACCGGAUAAUAUUUUGAACCGCAUGGUUCAAAAGUGAAAGACGGUCUUGCUGUCACUUAUAGAUGGAUCCGCGCUGCAUUAGCUAGUUGGUAAGGUAACGGCUUACCAAGGCAACGAUGCAUAGCCGACCUGAGAGGGUGAUCGGUCACACUGGAACUGAGACAUGGUCCAGACUCCUACGGGAGGCAGCAGUAGGGAAUCUUCCGCAAUGGGCGAAAGCCUGACGGAGCAACGCCGCGUGAGUGAUGAAGGUCUUCGGAUCGUAAAACUCUGUUAUUAGGGAAGAACAUAUGUGUAAGUAACUGUGCACAUCUUGACGGUACCUAAUCAGAAAGCCACGGCUAACUACGUG
rnacentral:rRNA from 1 species